AGAGUUUGAUCAUGGCUCAGAACGAACGCUGGCGGCAGGCCUAACACAUGCAAGUCGAACGCUGUAGCAAUACAGAGUGGCAGACGGGUGAGUAACGCGUGGGAACGUGCCUUUCGGUUCGGAAUAACUCAGGGAAACUUGAGCUAAUACCGGAUACGCCCUUCGGGGGAAAGAUUUAUUGCCGAAAGAUCGGCCCGCGUCCGAUUAGCUAGUUGGUGAGGUAACGGCCCACCAAGGCGACGAUCGGUAGCUGGUCUGAGAGGAUGAUCAGCCACACUGGGACUGAGACACGGCCCAGACUCCUACGGGAGGCAGCAGUGGGGAAUAUUGGACAAUGGGCGCAAGCCUGAUCCAGCCAUGCCGCGUGAGUGAUGAAGGCCCUAGGGUUGUAAAGCUCUUUCGCCAGGGACGAUAAUGACGGUACCUGGAUAAGAAGCCCCGGCUAACUUCGUGCCAGCAGCCGCGGUAAUACGAAGGGGGCUAGCGUUGUUCGGAAUCACUGGGCGUAAAGCGCACGUAGGCGGAUCUUUAAGUCAGGGGUGAAAUCCCGAGGCUCAACCUCGGAACUGCCUUUGAUACUGGGGGUCUAGAGUCCGGGAGAGGUGAGUGGAACUGC
rnacentral:rRNA from 1 species